rnacentral:lncRNA from 10 species
UCUCCUCAUCUGCCCAACUAAAGCCUCUUCUCGGGCAACAUUCAUGGUGUCAGUUAUUGGCUUUCUGGGUGGCGAGCAGCAGGACCUAGACUGAGCCCUUGGUGUUUUGGAACAAUACUCUACUUAGACACGGAUAGUGUAGAUUAAGUGGAUAAUAGUCAGUGUGACUCGGUUGAUAAAGAUAAAUAGGGAAGAUAAUCAACACGUCUGGAAGAUUUAAAGAUACUUCUUGGUAGAAACUUGAAUGAGAGAACCAUCAUAGACCUCAGCAUGCCACCAGAGACUCACGACUGGGAUAACUGGG